rnacentral:rRNA from 1 species
GACGAACGCUGGCGGCGUGCUUAACACAUGCAAGUCGAACGGAAAGGCCCGGCGUUUGUGGGGUGCUCGAGUGGCGAAGGGGUGAGUAACACGUGAGUAACCUGCCCUUGACUGUGGGAGAACUUCAGGAAACUGGGGCUAAUACCGGAUAGAAUCUCCUGCUGCAUGGUGGGGGUUGGAAAGAGUCGGCGGUUGGGGAUGUACUCGCGGCGUAUCAGCUUGUUUGUGAGGUAGGGGCUUACCAAGGCUUUGACGGGUAGCCGACCUCAGCGGGUGAUCGGCGACCCUGGAACUGAGACGCGGUCCAUGCUCCUACGGGAGGCAGCAGUAGCGAAUCGUCCGCAAUGGGCGAGAGCCUUACGGAGCAACGCGGCGUGAGUUAUGACGGUCUUCGGUGCGUAAUACUCUGUUAUGAGUUAUGAACAUAUGUGGAAGGAACUGUGCACUGCGUGACGGUACCUGAUCAGAAAGCCCCGGCUAACUACGUG